UACAGAGGUCUCAAGCGUUGUUCGGAUUCAUUGGGCGUAAAGGGUGCGUAGGUGGCGCUGUAAGUCGGGUGUGAAAUUUCGGAGCUUAACUCCGAAACUGCAUUCGAUACUGCGGUGCUCGAGGACUGGAGAGGAGACUGGAAUUCAUGGUGUAGCAGUGAAAUGCGUAGAGAUCAUGAGGAAGACCAGUGGCGAAGGCGGGUCUCUGGACAGUUCCUGACACUGAGGCACGAAGGCCAGGGGAGCAAACGGG
rnacentral:rRNA from 1 species